AGAGACAGCAGCAGCCACGGUAAUACGGAGGGUGCAAGCGUUAAUCGGAAUUACUGGGCGUAAAGCGUGCAUAGGCGGUUUGUUAAGUCUGCUGUGAAAUCCCCGGGCUCAACCUGGGAAUGGCAGUGGAUACUGGCAAGCUAGAGUGUGUCAGAGGAUGGUGGAAUUCCCGGUGUAGCGGUGAAAUGCGUAGAGAUCUGGAGGAAUACCGGUGGCGAAGGCGGCCCCCUGGACAAAGACUGACGCUCAGGUGCGAAAGCGUGGGGAGCAAACAGGAUUAGAUACCCGCGUAGUCCCUGUCUCUUAUAC
rnacentral:rRNA from 1 species